GAGCAUGUAGCUUAGGGGUAGAGCGCUUGUCUAACAAGCAUGAAGCCCUGGGUUCAAUCCCCAGCAUGGCCA
rnacentral:tRNA from 1 species